rnacentral:tRNA from 1 species
AGGAUUAUAGUUUAUUAAAACAUUUGAUUUGCAUUCAAAAGAUAUUGAUUAUUUUACCAAUUUAUCUUAA